AACGAACGCUGGCGGCAGGCUUAACACAUGCAAGUCGAACGGGUGUAGCAAUACAUCAGUGGCAGACGGGUGAGUAACACGUGGGAACCUUCCUAGGGGUACGGAACAACUCAGGGAAACUUGAGCUAAUACCGUAUACGUCCGUAAGGAGAAAGAUUCAUCGCCCCUAGACGGGCCCGCGUCGGAUUAGGUAGUUGGUGGGGUAACGGCCUACCAAGCCUACGAUCCGUAGCUGAUCUGAGAGGANGAUCAGCCACACUGGGACUGAGACACGGCCCAGGCUCCUACGGGAGACAGCAGGUAGGGGAAUCUUGGACAAUGGGCGCAAGCCUGAUCCAGCCAUGCCGCGUGAGUGAAGAAGCC
rnacentral:rRNA from 1 species